rnacentral:pre_miRNA from 1 species
AGUGGGAUAGCUGGGUCAAACGUUGGUUCAAUUCCAAGUUUUCUAAGGAAUUUCUAUACUGCUUUCUAAAUUGGUUGUGCCAAUUUGCAGUCCCACCAGCAGU